rnacentral:rRNA from 1 species
AUAUCAAUAAGCGGAGGAAAAGAAACCAACAGGGAUUGCCCUAGUAACGGCGAGUGAAGCGGCAACAGCUCAAAUUUGAAAUCUGGCCCUUGGGUCCGAGUUGUAAUUUGUAGAGGAUGUUUUUUGGUGCGGUAUCUUCCGAGUUCCUUGGAACAGGACGCCUUAGAGGGUGAGAGCCCCGUACGGUUGAAUGCCUAGCCUCUGUAAAAACUCCUUCGACGAGUCGAGUAGUUUGGGAAUGCUGCUCUAAAUGGGAGGUAAAUUUCUUCUAAAGCUAAAUACUGGCCAGAGACCGAUAGCGCACAAGUAGAGUGAUCGAAAGAUGAAAAGCACUUUGAAAAGAGGGUUAAAUAGCAC